rnacentral:rRNA from 1 species
UACAGGAGGGGCUAGCGUUGUUCGGAAUUACUGGGCGUAAAGGGCGCGUAGGUGGCCUGUUAAGUCGAACGUGAAAUCCCCGGGCUCAACCCGGGAACUGCGUCCGAGACUGGCAGGCUCGAAUCCGGGAGAGGGAUGUGGAAUUCCAGGUGUAGCGGUGAAAUGCGUAGAUAUCGAGAGGAACACCUGCGGCGAAGGCGGGUAGCUGGGCCGACACUGACGCUGAUGCGGCGAAAGCGUGGGGAGCGAACAGG